rnacentral:rRNA from 1 species
GCUGAAAAUCCAGCCCAUUAAACCCGUAUGAGUUUAUUUACUUUAUUUAAUUAACCAAAACAUUUUAAUAUUUUAGUACAGGAGAUUGAAAAACUAACUGGAGCAGUAAAAAUAGUACCGCAAGGGAAAGAUGAAAUAAAAAUGAAAUAAAUUUUAAGCACAAAAAAGUAGAGACUUUUCCUCGUACCUUUUGCAUCAUGAUUUAACUAGUCUAAUCAAGCAUAAAGCAUUAUAGUUUGACCCCCCGAAACUAAGCGAGCUACUUCAAGGCAGCUUUAUGAGCAAACCCGUCUCUGUUGCAAAAGAGUGGGAUGACCUUCAAGUAGGGGUGACAGACCUAACGAGCUUAGUGAUAGCUGGUUUCUCAAGAAAAGGAUUUUAGUCCAACCUAAAGCCUUCUUUAUUUGUAAAAAUUUACAUUAGGCUUUAGAGCAAUUCAAAUAAGGUACAGCCUAUUUGAAACAGGAUACAACCUCAACUGAUGGGUAAAUAAAUUUUUUUAUAAAACCAAGUGGGCCUAAAAGCAGCCACCUUUUAAAAAGCGUCAAAGCUUAAUUAAAAAUUAACACUAAUUCCUCUCACUCCCCCGAACCCUCUACUAAUAUUGAGUAAUUCUAUAUUUUUAUAGAACCUAUUAUGUUAAAACUAGUAACAAGAAGCUUAAAACUUCUCUUAAGUGCAAGUGUAAAUCAGAAAGGAUAAACCACUGAUAAUUAACGUGUAUGAGCCUACAUUAGUAACUUCCCAAGAAAAUCCUAAUUACCCCUACGUUAACCUAACACAAGAGCACCACAAGAAAGAUUAAAAGAAAAAGAAGGAACUCGGCAAACAUUAACCCCGCCUGUUUACCAAAAACAUCGCCUCUUGCAUAAAAAUAAGAGGUCUAGCCUGCCCAGUGACCACCACAGUUCAACGGCCGCGGUAUCCUAACCGUGCGAAGGUAGCGUAAUCACUUGUUCUUUAAAUAAGGACUAGUAUGAAUGGCAUCACGAGGGUUAUACUGUCUCCUUUUUCUAAUCAGUAAAACUAUUCUCCCCGUGAAGAAACGGGGAUGUUUAUAUAAGACGAGAAGACCCUAUGGAGCUUUAAAUUUUAUUACAAUUGCUCUUUUUUCUAAUUUGUCCCGACUUCUUACUUUUAAUUGAACAUACUGAUAGUAAAUUUUAGGUUGGGGUGACCGCGGAGCAUAAGAGAACCUCCGCAUAGAACAGACUCUAAGCCUUGAGCCAAGAACCACAAUUUUAAGCACUAAUAUAUUAACAUUCAUUGACCCAAUAUUUUUGAUCAACGAACCAAGUUACCCUAGGGAUAACAGCGCAAUCUACUUUGAGAGCUCCUAUCGACAAGUGGGUUUACGACCUCGAUGUUGGAUCAGGGUAUCCCAGUGGUGCAGCCGCUACUAAAGGUUCGUUUGUUCAACGAUUAAAACCCU